AUUGAACGCUGGCGGCAUGCCUUACACAUGCAAGUCGAACGGCAGCACGGGUGCUUGCACCCGGUGGCGAGUGGCGAACGGGUGAGUAAUAUAUCGGAACGUGCCCUAGAGUGGGGGAUAACGUAGCGAAAGUUACGCUAAUACCGCAUACGAUCUACGGAUGAAAGUGGGGGAUCGCAAGACCUCAUGCUCCUGGAGCGGCCGAUAUCUGAUUAGCUAGUUGGUGGGGUAAAAGCCUACCAAGGCGACGAUCAGUAGCUGGUCUGAGAGGACGACCAGCCACACUGGGACUGGGACACGGCCCAGACUCCUACGGGAGGCAGCAGUGGGGAAUUUUGGACAAUGGGGGAAACCCUGAUCCAGCAAUGCCGCGUGUGUGAAGAAGGCCUUCGGGUUGUAAAGCACUUUUGUCAGGAACGAAACGGUGGGGGCUAAUAUCUCCUGCUAAUGACGGUACCUGAAGAAUAAGCACCGGCUAACUACGUGCCAGCAGCCGCCGUAA
rnacentral:rRNA from 1 species